CGCAGUUUAAAUCAUCUCACAAUAGAUUCACGAAACAAGUGGAAAACUCGAGAAAUAAAACUGCUUUUAAUGAAGACUGUGAGAAAGUUAAACUUUAUAAACCGCGUUAUGAGACGAGAUGAUGAGAGACUGAAUCUUUACCUCAGAGGAUCAUUUAUUUCUUUGUUCUUUAAUGUAAAUUUCUCCUCGACCGUUCUCCAGACGUGGACAACUAUUCUGAAGACGACGAUGACAGUUAUUCUUCAGAGCAGGAGGUCAGUGAUGAUGCCGUUCAGGGUCAGUGGAUAUGAACAGAAGUUCAGAUGCGUCUAUAGCGCUUCACUCUACAGCUGUUGAGCAGACGGCUGGGGGGGAUGUCACAUGUGACGGGGAUGUGAACGCAGACAAAUCAGCAGCAAACAUCGGCAAACUCUGCAAGGCCGAGUCUCAGACUCUCAUGUCGUGGAGACGCUGUGUCUUUCGUUAAAAAAAACGGCUGCUUCACGAACGCUUUGGUUAAAAGUGGGGCUAUUCCAACCAUUAAAACUUUACAAGGACAGUCUGGCGCUUUUGAUUUGCAGCCUGAUGACAGUGAAGUUCUGAGAUCAGCAAGGCACCUUUUGUCACUUUUGAGCAAUCAAAGACAAAGAGCUGAUGGGCCUUCUACUAGCCAGGAUAGUAACA